rnacentral:rRNA from 1 species
AUUGAACGCUGGCGGCAGGCCUAACACAUGCAAGUCGAGCGAGCGGCGGACGGGUGAGUAAUGUAUGGGGACUGCCCGAUAGAGGGGGAUAACUACUGGAAACGUUGGCUAAUACCGCAUACUCUCGGAUAACCCAUAUGGGAUUAGCUAUUAGGUGGGGUAAAGGCUCACCUAGGCGACUCUCUCUAGCUGGUCUGAGAGGAUGAUCAGGGAAACUGGGACUGAGAAACGGCGCAGACGCGUUUGGAGGCAGCAGUGGGGAAGAGUGCACAAUGGGCGCAAGCCUGAUGCAGCCAUGCCGCGUGUAGGAAGAAGGCCUUAGGGUUGUAUAGUACUUUCAGCGGGGAGGCGUUACCCGUAGAAGAAGCCCCUGCUAACUCCGUUCCAGCAGCCGCGGUAAUUC